rnacentral:rRNA from 1 species
UACGUAGGGUGCGAGCGUUAAUCGGAAUUACUGGGCGCAAAGCGUGCGCAGGCGGUUUCGUAAGACAGGAGUGAAAACCCCGGGCGUAACCUGGGAGCUGCGCUUGUGACUGCGAGGCUAGAGUGUGUCAGAGGGAGGUGGAAUUCCACGUGUAGCAGUGAAAUGCGUAGAGAUGUGGAGGAACACCGAUGGCGAAGGCAGCCUCCUGGGAUAACACUGACGCUCAUGCACGAAAGCGUGGGGAGCAAACAGG